GUGAACGCUGGCGGUAGGCCUAACACCUGCAAGUCGCACGGCAGCACAGUAAGAGCUUGCUCUUACGGGUGGCGAGUGGCGGACGGGUGAGGAAUACAUCGGAAUCUACUUUUUCGUGGGGGAUAACGUAGGGAAACUUACGCUAAUACCGCAUACGACCUACGGGUGAAAGCAGGGGCUCUUCGGACCUUUCGCGAUUGAAUGAGCCGAUGUCGGAUUAGCUAGUUGGCGGGGUAAAGGCCCACCAAGGCGACGAUCCGUAGCUGGUCUGAGAGGAUGAUCAGCCACACUGGAACUGAGACACGGUCCAGACUCCUACGGGAGGCAGCAGUGGGGAAUAUUGGACAAUGGGCGCAAGCCUGAUCCAGCCAUACCGCGUGGGUGAAGAAGGCCUUCGGGUUGUAAAGCCCUUUUGUUGGGAAAGAAAAGCAGCAGGUUAAUACCCCGCUGUUCUGACGGUACCCAAAGAAUAAGCACCGGCUAACUUCGUG
rnacentral:rRNA from 1 species